CUACGGGACGCUGCAGUGAGGAAUAUUGCACAAUGGGGGGAACCCUGAUGCAGCAACGCCGCGUGGAGGAUGACGCAUUUCGGUGUGUAAACUCCUUUUAUAUGUCAAGAAAAUGACGGUAGCAUAUGAAUAAGCACCGGCUAACUCCGUGCCAGCAGCCGCGGGUAAUACGGAGGGUGCAAGCGUUACUCGGAAUCACUGGGCGUAAAGGACGCGUAGGCGGGUUGGAAAGUCAGGUGUGAAAUCCUACAGCUUAACUGUAGAACUGCACUUGAAACUUCUAAUCUAGUGUAUGGGAGGGGGAGAUGGAAUUAGUGGUGUAGGGGUAAAAUCCGUAGAUAUCACUAGGAAUACCUAAAGCGAAGGCGAUCUCCUGGAACAUUACUGACGCUAAGGCGUGAAAGCGUGGGGAGCAAACAGGAUUAGAUACCCCCGUAGUC
rnacentral:rRNA from 1 species